UAGGGAAUCUUCCACAAUGGACGCAAGUCUGAUGGAGCAACGCCGCGUGAGUGAAGAAGGUUUUCGGAUCGUAAAGCUCUGUUGUUGGUGAAGAAGGAUAGAGGUAGUAACUGGCCUUUAUUUGACGGUAAUCAACCAGAAAGUCACGGCUAACUACGUGCCAGCAGCCGCGGUAAUACGUAGGUGGCAAGCGUUGUCCGGAUUUAUUGGGCGUAAAGCGAGCGCAGGCGGAAGAAUAAGACUGAUGUGAAAGCCCUCGGCUUAACCGAGGAACUGCAUCGGAAACUGUUUUUCUUGAGUGCAGAAGAGGAGAGUGGAAUUCCAUGUGUAGCGGUGGAAUGCGUAGAUAUAUGGAAGAACACCAGUGGCGAAGGCGACUCUCUGGUCUGCAACUGACGCUGAGGCUCGAAAGCAUGGGUAGCGAACAGG
rnacentral:rRNA from 1 species